rnacentral:rRNA from 1 species
CGGGUGAGUAACACGUGAGUAACCUGCCCUUGACUCUGGGAUAAGCGUUGGGAACGACGUCUAAUACCGGAUACGAGCUUCCACCGCAUGGUGAGUUGCUGGAAAGAAUUUUGGUCAAGGAUGGACUCGCGGCCUAUCAGCUUGUUGGUGAGGUAACGGCUCACCAAGGCGACGACGGGUAGCCGGCCUGAGAGGGUGACCGGCCACACUGGGACUGAGACACGGCCCAGACUCCUACGGGAGGCAGCAGUGGGGAAUAUUGCACGAUGGGCGAAAGCCUGAUGCAGCAACGCCGCGUGAGGGACGACGGCCUUCGGGUUGUAAACCUCUUUUAGCAGGGAAGAAGCGAAAGUGACGGUACCUGCAGAAAAAGCACCGGCUAACUACGUGCCAGCAGCCGCGGUAAUACGUAGGGUGCAAGCGUUGUCCGGAAUUAUUGGGCGUAAAGAGCUCGUAGGCGGUUUGUCGCGUCUGCUGUGAAAUCCCGAGGCUCAACCUCGGGUCUGCAGUGGGUACGGGCAGACUAGAGUGCGGUAGGGGAGAUUGGAAUUCCUGGUGUAGCGGUGGAAUGCGCAGAUAUCAGGAGGAACACCGAUGGCGAAGGCAGAUCUCUGGGCCGCUACUGACGCUGAGGAGCGAAAGGGUGGGGAGCAAACAGGCUUAGAUACCCUGGUAGUCCACCCCGUAAACGUUGGGCGCUAGAUGUGGGGACCAUUCCACGGUUUCCGUGUCGUAGCUAACGCAUUAAGCGCCCCGCCUGGGGAGUACGGCCGCAAGGCUAAAACUCAAAGGAAUUGACGGGGGCCCGCACAAGCGGCGGAGCAUGCGGAUUAAUUCGAUGCAACGCGAAGAACCUUACCAAGGCUUGACAUAUACGAGAACGGGCCAGAAAUGGUCAACUCUUUGGACACUCGUAAACAGGUGGUGCAUGGUUGUCGUCAGCUCGUGUCGUGAGAUGUUGGGUUAAGUCCCGCAACGAGCGCAACCCUCGUUCUAUGUUGCCAGCACGUAAUGGUGGAACUCAUGGGAUACUGCCGGGGUCAACUCGGAGGAAGGCGGGGACGACGUCAAAUCAUCAUGCCCCUUAUGUCUUGGGCUUCACGCAUGCUACAAUGGCCAGUACAAAGGGCUGCAAUACCGUAAGGUGGAGCGAAUCCCAAAAAGCUGGUCCCAGUUCGGAUUGAGGUCUGCAACUCGACCUCAUGAAGUCGGAGUCGCUAGUAAUCGCAGAUCAGCAACGCUGCGGUGAAUACGUUCCCGGGCCUUGUACACACCGCCCGUCAAGUCAUGAAAGUCGGUAACACCCGAAGCCAGUGGCCUAACCGCAAGGAUGGAGCUGUCUAAGGUGGGAUCGGUAAUUAGGACUAAGUCGGAACAAGGUA